rnacentral:rRNA from 1 species
UAGUCCACGCCGUAAACGAUGAGAACUAGAUGUUGGGGGAAUUGCCCCUCGGUGUCGCAGCUAACGCGUUAAGUUCUCCGCCUGGGGAGUACGCCGGCAACGGUAAAACUCAAAGGAAUUGACGGGGACCCGCACAAGCGGUGGAGCAUGUGGUUUAAUUCGAUGCAACACGAAGAACCUUACCAGCUUUUGACAUGAGAAUUAGGGGUUUUAGAGAUAAAGCCCGUCGGUUCGGCCGGAUUCUACACAGGUGCUGCAUGGCUGUCGUCAGCUCGUGUCGUGAGAUGUUGGGUUAAGUCCCGCAACGAGCGCAACCCUCGUCCUUAGUUGCCAUCAUUUAGUUGGGCACUUUAAGGAAACUGCCGGUGAUAAGCCGGAGGAAGGUGGGGAUGACGUCAAGUCCUCAUGGCCCUUACAGGCUGGGCUACACACGUGCUACAAUGGCAUCUACAGUGGGCAGCUAUCACGCGAGUGUGAGCUAAUCUCCAAAAGAUGUCUCAGUUCGGAUUGUU